AGGUAAGAAGACAUGAAUACUGCAGGCUCCCCUUAGGGUUUUGAGGGAUAUGAGUAAAUAAGGAAAAUUCACAGAGGUCUGGAUUGUUGUGAAAAGACACCUGUGGGAUUCAUAAGUAAAUUUUUCUCUAUAGCCACUUGUCCCAUUCAAAUACCAGAAAAGAUACGGGGCCAUAGUUUCGGGUUCAUCACUGUAAUCUACAAAAAAAUGGUUCUAAGGAUAUCUUUCACUUUGCUUUCUCUUUCCUGAUUGCCCCAAACUCUGUGAUUAAAAAACACAUAAAAAGAACAGUUAGCCAAAGUAGUGAUGUAGAUCGUAGCUACUGUUGGAAACAUCUUUGCAUCCUUUUGAAACAGUUUUUUUUUUUAAUCAGAAAGUGAUCAGAAUCAUAACACUAAAUAAAAUUAGAGACAAUAUGUCCUCUCUGUAACAAAUAUUAUACUUGAAAUUACACAGGUCAUAGUUUGUAUAGUGGAAAAAUACUAGAAAUCAAAAGACCCCAAGUUCUACUUCUAACUCGGACACCAGCUCUUCAUUGUCCUAGCAUCCUUUCUCAGCCCACAAUUUCCCAUCCCGCCCAAGACCCUGAUCAAGGCCACAGGAUGAACUACCAGUAGUUUAGGGUGGUCUGUUUCCUGUGCUCUUGACACUCCUAUAUGGAACUCUGAAUCCAUUCCCCCACAGAAAUGCAAUUAGAGAUUGUGGCUAGUUUCUACAGUCUGAU